UUUUCUCUACAACACAACACUGAAUAAUUCCUUUUCUCUGUCGCCACUCUCAAAACCCUAGCCGCAUACUCAUAUUCUUCAAAGUCUUCAAAAAUCAAUGGAGAUUUCAGACAUUAAACACUGAUCUCACAUCUUCAAGUAUGAUUUUCUCAUUUUCAAUUGUUCAUCAUCCAUUCAAAGCCCAAUACGUCACUUUCCUCCAUCGUCGUUUCUUCAAAUAUCAAAUAGUAAUUUAGAGAACUUACAAAGUGGUACAAACAAAUUCUACACCUAUGAUUAAGGAAAGCUUUUUGAGUUCAUUGAUGAGAGGAUCCAAGGCAGCGGUGGAAAAGAAGUCAGGACAGAGUUAACCAGCAAACUUACAACAAUUAACUUUUGAAAAAUGCCUAGAAAUACUCUACACAUAUCUAAACCACCUGCAAAUUCACUACCAUCUUAUUUCGUUUUGUAUGUCCAUAUAACCUAACCUGGUCUGGUGUGUUACACAGAAUACAGUUGUUGCAGUGCCAGGAGGGUAUAAAAUGCAAGCCGUAGCAUUACGGAUUGCAGGCAAUAAGGCAGUGGUUUAUCGCGUACGAAUACUUGGUACACAAGACACCCUUCUUGACGAAACCGGGUCACAUUACAGAUUGCAGGCAAUAAGGCAGUGCUUUUUGCUAAAAGCUUUAAUGGAUGCGCGCAAGCUUAUUGAACAUGAAAUGGAGCGGUUUAAGAUUUGUGAGAAGGAGACGAAGACAAAAGCUUUCUCCAAGGAAGGCCUGGGACAGCAGCCUAAAACGGAUCCAAAGGAGAAAGCCAAGUGAGAUAUCAGAGACCUGAUUAUGUCUAAUACGCUCAGCCUCCAAGUAACUGAUUAUUCAGCUAUGCAUCUUCUGUAUUCUUCUUUCUCUGCCGCAACCCUAAGCGACACAAUGAUUUGGGUUUGAAUACGAGUUACAGGUUAUCACCAGUUUUGAGGUCUCCUCAAUGUGCUACUGGUCAUUAGACGGCAUGGGGGGUGAUUGAUGAUUGUUUUUACGACUCCAGACAAAGAAACAAUGAUUUGCCGAAAAUCCAUUUUACUUCCAUAUCAGUAUGCAACCAACGGAACAAGGAGAUAUAUCUGCAGAUGUUAUAAAGAAGGCAUUCAGCGCGACUGAAGAAAAUUUCCUUCAAUUUGUAAGACAUCAAAUGCAAGUUAGACCUCAGAUUGCAUCAGUUGGCUCAUGUUGUCUUGUCGGUGCCAUCUCUGACGGUGAAUUACAUGUAGCUAACCUCUGGAACUCGCGAGUACUUCUCGGUCAGAAAGUUUCCGAUGGAGGAAAGGCUAGAGUCGUUGCAGAGCGUUUGUCCAGAGAUCAUAACGUUUCGUACGAGGAGGUCAGGCUAUUGUUAUAUACUGCAGGGGAGUUUGGAGAAUCAAUGGCAUAAUUCAGGCUGCGAAGGAAAGCCUCAACACAUUUGGGAAGAAUCGGAGUUCAAUGACAUUAUCUUUAGCUGCUGGUUUGAUGGUUUACAACUGAGACGAACACUAGCUAACUGAUGUAGGGUUUCGGGAAUGGUCGGAUGUCCAGUUUUGGUUCUGACAACUCCGAUUCAGGUCUGCAGUCAAAUUUUUAAACCACAGCAUUGGUCCGAACAAUAGCUUUGAUUGUUUGGGAAGAAAGCCCUCAUAGGGUUUAUGUGAUUGGUAGUGCAACAACAUGACAACAACAGUGGCAAGCUAGGGUUUUUUUACUUACCGAGAAGAUAACUUUUAUAAGUGAGGUACUUCAAAGUGUCGAAGAAGAGAGCGAGUACAUGCUAUUACUUUUGGCUACAAUGUGGGUAAUGUGGAAGAGCCGGAAUGAAUGGGUUUUUAGCAAAAAGCAAUUGGAUUCCUAUGGAUCAGAAUUGAGCAAGAAUGAAUACACUUGGCUGGGAGGAACAGGAAGCACUCAAAGUGUAAUCAUAUAGAUAGUUUGGUGGAAUGAAAUGUGUAUGAUGUAAAUACUUUGGUGUUUGGGUUUAGCUUUCGGCUUUCCCUGUAUCAAUAAAGAUUUACUUGGUCAUUCAAAAACAAAAAAAAGAAAGAAAAAAGAUGGCGGCCAAUAUUUAUGCCCUAAAGGCUAAAAGUAAGCAUUUUGAAUUUCUUAUGUCACUUUGUUUUGAAUUUAUUUUAUUUAUACAUGUAUGAUCAAUUUGUUUGUAUUA